GGAGGAGCCCAGAGCCUGAAUCAGCAUGUGUGUUAGUGGAAGCGUCUGGAAAGGCGCGCGAUACAGGGUGACAGCCCCGUACACAAAAGCGCAUGUGCUGUGAGCUCGAUGAGUAGGGCGGGACACGUGGUAUCCUGUCUGAAUAUGGGGGGACCAUCCUCCAAGGCUAAAUACUCCUGACUGACCGAUAGUGAACCAGUACCGUGAGGGAAAGGCGAAAAGAACCCCGGCGAGGGGAGUGAAAAAGAACCUGAAACCGUGUACGUACAAGCAGUGGGAGCCCCACCACUAAGCCAGUGGUGAACUCCACAUACGCAUCCUUUGCUGAGGAUACGGUUAACGGAGCGAAAGCGACGUUCAACCUCAAAAGAAGCAGAGGGGGCUUAGUGGUGGGGUGACUGCGUACCUUUUGUAUAAUGGGUCAGCGACUUAUAUUCUGUAGCAAGGUUAACCGAAUAGGGGAGCCGGAGGGAAACCGAGUCUUAAUUGGGCGUUAAGUUGCAGGGUAUAGACCCGAAACCCGGUGAUCUAGCCAUGGGCAGGUUGAAGGUUGGGUAACACUAACUGGAGGACCGAACCGACUAAUGUUGAAAAAUUAGCGGAUGACCUGUGGCUGGGGGUGAAAGGCCAAUCAAACCGGGAGAUAGCUGGUUCUCCCCGAAAGCUAUUUAGGUAGCGCCUCGUGAAUUCAUCUCCGGGGGUAGAGCACUGUUUCGGCUAGGGGGCCAUCCCGGCUUACCAACCCGAUGCAAACUGCGAAUACCGGAGAAUGUUAUCACGGGAGACACACGGCGGGUGCUAACGUCCGUCGUGAAGAGGGAAACAACCCAGACCGCCAGCUAAGGUCCCAAAGUCAUGGUUAAGUGGGAAACGAUGUGGGAAGGCCCAGACAGCCAGGAUGUUGGCUUAGAAGCAGCCAUCAUUUAAAGAAAGCGUAAUAGCUCACUGGUCGAGUCGGCCUGCGCGGAAGAUGUAACGGGGCUAAACCAUG
rnacentral:rRNA from 1 species